UACAUAAGAUACCAGGUAUCACAGAGGAGGGACGGAUGAACCCUCUCUCGGAGGGUCAGUAAAGCUUCCCGGCCUAUAUGACAUCAAGGCUAGAAUAUUGAGAAGCUCCCAGUCACACCGGGAAGGGAAAGAGAGACAGUGUGCGGACAAUUGCAUUCAGGGAACAUUUAAAAUCCUUAAACGCUGCUGGAGUUGGAGAGGACUUAAGAAAUCUUCAGUUUGGGUUCCUCUUCAGUGUGCUCCUGACCUCCCCUCAAGUGAGGACUGGUAUCUUUGAUUUUUUUCUGCUUGAACCUGGGUUGAAACUACAUGACCUUUUGAGAACGUGCAGAAUCCUCCGCCCCAGAAUCGUCCCCUUCGGACCUCGCUGUGCUUGUUGUGUAUGUCAAAAAACGGGCAAGCAACGUGCACAUAAAAUGUCAAGAUCCAAGAAAACUGCAAGACCAACCUGCUUAACCAAGCAUUUCUGGAAGGGAAGAGUCCUUCUGACUAAUGCUUUCAGACGGUCUGCUCCCUGUCCAUUUAUCACCAGUUCCUGUUUGCCAAUCCCAAGCAUAUCAUUUAUAUGUGCCCAGAAUCCCUGGGUAAUGGGCAUGCUGUAAAAAUAAAUAGAAUAAAUAA